rnacentral:rRNA from 1 species
GUUGAACGCUGGCGGCAGGCUUAACACAUGCAAGUCGAGCGGAAGAACGUAGGAGCUUGCUCUCUCGGGGACGGGCGGCGGGCGGGUUAGGGAUGUCUGGGGAACUUCCUGUUUGAGGGGGAUAACUACAGGAAACGGUAGCUAAUUACGCCUAACGUCGUAAGGCUGAAGGGGGGGGGCUUUCGGCCUCUGCGCGUCAGAUGGGCCCGAGGUGGGAUUAGUUGGUUGGUGGGGUAUGGGCCCACCAAGGCGACGACCCGUAGCUGGUCUGAGAGGAUGAUCAGCCACACUGGAACUGAGACACGGUCCAGACUCCUACGGGAGGCAGCAGUGGGGAAUAUUGGACAAUGGGCGCAAGCCUGAUCCAGCCAUGCCGCGUGUGUGAAGAAGGCCUUCGGGUUGUAAAGCACUUUUAGUGGGGAGGAAGGGCAUCAGGUUAAUACGUUGCUGUAUUGACGUUACUCGCAGAAGAAGCACCGGCUAACUUCGUG